GCCGAUACUUAUGCACUGUAAGGUCGUUUGCUUUUUUCUAUACACUUGAUGUAUUAAUAAAAAUAACAUUGGACAAGACAUAUAUAUAUACUGAUGAUAUUUUAAAGUUCAUACUCUUCUUUUAAUACAUGAUAAAAACAUCUUUUCUGUUUAAUGGUUGAUUAUUAAAGAAGAGCAACUAUGAUAAUUUAAUUAUCGCAUAUUAUUCCUUAAUAUGAGUUAUGUUUGUGGUCCUUAUGUAAGAUCAAGUUUGUUUUUUAAUAGGAAUUUAAUUUUCUCCAUUAUUUAUAUUCUUAUUUUGUUUAUUUCAUGCUUUAACUAUGGACAAAGAGCGCUCAGUAUGGCAUUCAUCUACGAAAGAACUUUCCCCAUUGAAGGAAAUGUGCAAUAAAGCGUGAUAUCAACAACUUCCAUAUACUUUCAUUUGUCAGCGGUAUGCCAUAGUUCCGAUAAUACAAAUUGAUGGGUUGCUGUUUCAUUGACAUUAAUGACACAUACCUAAUUUAUAGAUUAUAAUUUUGAUCCACAAGUGCGAGUCGUAUCAACAUGACUAACCGAAGCCUAAUCUGACUGUUGUACAAAUUUACAAAAUUCGACUUCGAUCAGCAUUUUGAUACACAACUGGACCCAAGUUACAAUGAAAGAUCAAAGCACCUAUUGUUAUUCCAUCAUCUCUUUAAAGUUGACUAUGUCGUUAAUUGUCAAGGACUCUCGUAACUACAAUACAG
rnacentral:lncRNA from 1 species